UACGGAGGGGACUAGCGUUGUUCGGAAUUACUGGGCGUAAAGCGCACGUAGGCGGUUUGUUUAGUCAGGGGUGAAAUCCCGAGGCUCAACCUCGGAACUGCCUUUGAUACUGGCAAUCUCGAGUCCGGAAGAGGUGAGUGGAAUUCCUAGUGUAGAGGUGAAAUUCGUAGAUAUUAGGAAGAACACCAGUGGCGAAGGCGGCUCACUGGUCCGGUACUGACGCUGAGGUGCGAAAGCGUGGGGAGCAAACAGG
rnacentral:rRNA from 1 species